rnacentral:rRNA from 1 species
UACGUAGGGUGCGAGCGUUAAUCGGAAUUACUGGGCGUAAAGCGUGCGCAGGCGGCGCGUUAAGACAGGUGUGAAAGCCCCGAGCUUAACUUGGGAAUUGCGCUUGUGACUGGCGAGCUGGAGUGUGGCAGAGGGAGGUGGAAUUCCACGUGUAGCAGUGAAAUGCGUAGAGAUGUGGAGGAACACCGAUGGCGAAGGCAGCCUCCUGGGCCAGCACUGACGCUCAUGCACGAAAGCGUGGGGGAGCAAACAGG